rnacentral:rRNA from 1 species
AUUCCUACGGGAGGCAGCAGUAGGGAAUAUUGGUCAAUGGGCGGAAGCCUGAACCAGCCAUGCCGCGUGCAGGAUGACGGCCUUCUGGGUUGUAAACUGCUUUUAUCAGGGAAGAAAACGGCCAUGCGUGGCAGAUUGACGGUACCUGAAGAAUAAGCACCGGCUAACUCCGUGCCAGCAGCCGCGGUAAUACGGAGGGUGCAAGCGUUGUCCGGAUUUAUUGGGUUUAAAGGGUGCGUAGGCGGAUUAUUAAGUCAGUGGUGAAAGUUUGCGGCUCAACCGUAAAAGUGCCAUUGAUACUGGUAGUCUUGAGUACAGUAGAGGUAGGCGGAAUUUAUGGUGUAGCGGUGAAAUGCAUAGAUACCAUAAAGAACACCGAUAGCGAAGGCAGCUUACUAUACUGUAACUGACGCUGAGGCACGAAAGCGUGGGGAGCGAACAGGAUUAGAUACCCUGGUAGUCCACGCUGUAAACGAUGAAGACUCGCUGUUGGCGAUACACAGCCAGUGGCCAAGCGAAAGCGUUAAGUCUUCCACCUGGGGAGUACGAUCGCAAGAUUGAAACUCAAAGGAAUUGACGGAAU